UUCAGAUCAUCUGCUCAGCAAUGGAACAGGAUCCGAAGUUUCCCUGAAUGAUAACAUAGGUUAUCCGAUCUAACUCGUAUCCAGACAAGUGUCAGUUCGUUACAUGUGUCAUCACAUAUCCAAGCUUAUGUACACGGACCUGUUGCAACCGUUCGGGCGGAUUGUUGCAGUCAUUUGAUUGCA
rfam:Anopheles merus strain MAF unplaced genomic scaffold supercont2.33, whole genome shotgun sequence.